GCGUGGAUAGUUUAGCGGUAAAAUCACUGGCUUCCAACCAGUUGUCCUGGGUUCGAUUCCCAGUCCGCGCA
rnacentral:tRNA from 1 species